rnacentral:tRNA from 1 species
GGCCCUGUGGUGAAGUUCAUAUUAGGUUGCAAACCUAAAGAUGCAGGAGUAAGGCCUGCCGGGGCUU